UUACAAAAUCCCUAAACUCCCAUUAGCAUAUGAAUUAACCCCAGUAGCCACGUCUUAUCAGGGAAAAAAAAAACUUUCUAUCACCCACGUUGUUAUUUUGUUUUUCUUCACAAAUAAAAAUAAAAAAUGAAACUAUCUUCUCACGCUACCGAUUGAAAUCUUCUUCUAUGAGGAUAAGCUCCCUCGAUAGAAAUCCAGAGCAAGUGGUUACUUUUAUGUUGUGUAUUUUCUGUAAUUUCUGUUUUGAUUUUGAUUUGGAGAUGUUUGUGUGUAAGAAAAGCGAUUUGAUUCGCUUUCAACAAGUUUGAAAUUUGAUUUGCUUUAAAAAAGUUUGGAAUGAUAAUCUACAAGAAUUCUGGACUCUACAAGAGGUGAGUGGUAUGAUUUGUAAUUCAUGAACAAUCCUUAAAAUUCUGUAAACAUAAGGUUGAUAUUUCGACUAGCAAAGUGGGAAAAGACCAAUUUUGGACAUGAAGUCGCAAUCCCCUUCAAUUAGACUUCAAAAUACAACAUAUACAAUGGAUAUAUCUGCCAAGGUGAUGCUUUCAUGGAUUUGGACCAAGUUGAUGCAACCGACUCCAUGGCUUUAGAGUUAGAUGCGUCCAUCCGUCGUUCAAAAUCUUUCAAGGGGUUGCAGAAUUUUAUCAGAAUUGCCGCAAAAAGAUCAUUUUAACACGACGGCGGAUUGGCAGUACGUUUUCCUUUUUUACUUGUGAUUUGGUUUUUCAUAUACUCACGUAAAUAUUUAACUUUAUUGGUUUAGAUUUCCUGUUCUAUCCAAAUCUAUUAGUUGAUGAUGGUGUCGGCAAGAGCUUUGCCAUAGUUUCUGUUUGGUGCUAUAGAAUGAAAUGCCAAGGUAAAAUUUCAUCAGAAACCAAUUGUCAAAAAAUUUCAUAGAAACUAAUUGUCAAAAAUGACUUAAGCAUUUAAGCCAUUGCGUCAGGACACCUACUAAAUGUUGGGUAUGAAUAAUUUUCGUUGGCAUUAAUUUGAUAAAUAUGCAGAUCUAUAUAAUAUUUAGAAGAAUGCAAGAAAAAAAUCUGCCUAUUAAUGCUAAGAAUUGCGGAUAUGAACUUGGAUACAUAUAGGAUUCAAAAGAAGAUGAUAAAUUCCGAUUGUCAAGAACUAUGGUUUGCUUAAUGUUGCUUCAACUUCUUGGCCUGAGGCUUGAUUUCUGACACCCAUGGAGGAAAGAAUUAUGAAUGUGAAUUAUGUCUUUGUAUUUUAGGAACUUUAAGAACAAGUGCAUAGACCUCUGGAUCCUUCUAAUCCCUUAGGAUAAAAAGAGUGAGUUUCUGUUCCUUUGUAGUUGCUUCUAAAUUUUUUUCUUUUCUUUGCAGAAGUAUGUGGCUUAAGUAAAUAAGCUGGAUUCCAAUUACCUACUGACUACUACCUUCAAAAACUAUUAUAGUAUUCUUAUUUGAACAUACGCGCUGUUAU